rnacentral:rRNA from 1 species
GGACCCGCACAAGCGGUGGAUGAUGUGGUUUAAUUCGAUGCAACGCGAAAAACCUUACCUACCCUUGACAUGCCUGGAAUCCUGCAGAGAUGUGGGGGUGCCCGAAAGGGAGCCAGGACACAGGUGCUGCAUGGCCGUCGUCAGCUCGUGUCGUGAGAUGUUGGGUUAAGUCCCGCAACGAGCGCAACCCUUGUCAUUAGUUGCUACGAAAGGGCACUCUAAUGAGACUGCCGGUGACAAACCGGAGGAAGGUGGGGAUGACGUCAGGUCCUCAUGGCCCUUAUGGGUAGGGCUACACACGUCAUACAAUGGCCGGUACAGAGGGUUGCCAACCCGCGAGGGGGAGCUAAUCCCAGAAAACCGGUCGUAGUCCGGAUCGCAGUCUGCAACUCGACUGCGUGAAGUCGGAAUCGCUAGUAAUCGCGGAUCAGCUUGCCGCGGUGAAUACGUUCCCGGGUCUU